rnacentral:lncRNA from 1 species
AGUUUGGGGGAUUUAGGGAGUAGUUUUCAUUCUACAUGAACUGAAAUAAUAUGAUUACUCCAAUAAUUGGUUAAAAAUACUGUACAAAUCAGAAUAGUACUAAAAUACUGUGGAAUUUUAGCAUUUUUAUUUUGCACUUUGUGUGGAUUGAGGUAUUCAGAAAUACCAACCAUAAAAAUCUAAUCUAGUUGGCAAAGAUAUGCAUCAAAGCACAGAACCUAACAUGCAUUUAUUUUGAUAAUUUUUGAGGGUUUUUGUCAAAUAGCAUGUGAAGGGUUACAUUUUUCUUAAGAUUGGUGGUCCCAAUGUCAAAUUUCUUGAAACACAUAACUGAAUGAUAGAUUUUUUUUUAAAGAUAAAACUUUACAACCUGCACAUUUGUUAUGCAUACUAAAUGGUGUGUUAAAAGUAGGGUUUCUUUGCCUCUCUACAGUACACUAAUCUGCCUAAAGGUGGUUGUUUCAUAUUUAUAAUGCUAAUUGUCAUACCUACCUACUUUAAAUUUUAGGUAGAAAAUUAUCUGAUUUAAAUACAGACACAUAUUUUUCUCACAUUGAGUCAUAUGCAUAAUGUAGUUCCAAAUGUAUUUCAUUACUAUAGUCACAAUAUCCAACUAAAAAUUACGCUAUCUAGAAUUGUACCGACCAAAAUCUAGUAUUGGCAGAUCUUGACAGGCUGGACCUGCAAGAUAUGGCUUGAAUUUUAACCAUUUAUUACAUAAUCUCUAGUGAUCAUGCAUCUAGUUAUCAUAAGAAAUAAUUUAAAAGGUUUUGUUGCUGAAAGCAGUAAGUGGUGCAGUAAAACAGUUAAGUUAUUCAAAGAAUGUUAUCUUUCUUGCAAGAGUAAUUUAAGCACAUGGGAAAGAUUCUAGACUUUUUGUUUCUUGCAACAACAGUGCCCUCUGCUGCUAGAAACCUUUUUCUACUUACUAUCAUUUUUAUUGUGGCUUGAGCUCAGUGAAUCUGGUGCAGAUGAGGCUGGACAACUACUAACCAAUAAAAUCAGGAAUUUGUACAAAAGUUAAAUGGGAUAUUAUACUUAUUUCAAGUAAUGUUAAUUAAAAUUUUUUUUUUCUUUUUGACAAUAUAAAAAACAUUUUAAAUUUCCUAGAAAUGUCUUCAGGGUAAGGCCAGUUUAAGAUCUCUCUUAAAAGACUUUUGGCCAAUAAAUCCUAGAUUUUCCAGCUAACUUUGGUGGUAAUAAAUAUUUAUCAGGAGCUUCUCUCAGCAGAGAGUAUCCAUUCUUUGAAUUCGAAGCACAAUUUUAAACAUGUAAAAUGGACAUAUAAUUUGCCAAAGGUAAUUGGUUUACUCUUUUUUUCUUAAAGAAAAAAAGACAUUGGUUGUUGUUGCAAAAAGUCUAAAUUACUAUCGGUUGAAACACAGCAGCUGUGGAGUUCAGUCCAGGCAUGAAGACUAAAUCUGCUUUACCAAGUAAGGCGUAAGGUUGCAUGUUUCAGUCCUCUACCAUCCUGCACUGUGAGCAGCACUAUACCUGUGCGUUGUCUGAAAGCCUCCUGUAUAUUCUCCAGCUAAAUGGUCGUCUGGUAGCCUUUGCAUUUAACAAACUAGCAUGAGGCUUUUUAUAUCUAAAUGCUACGUGAUAGACAAUUUCAGCUAGCCACAUAUUGUAUGUAUGAGAUUCAUAAAGACUUUCAAUCAUUUCAUUUUCAAACAACUGAAAUUUUGUUUAGUAUGUGAAUUCUUUUUUUGAAAUGUAUAGUGAAUAGGAUGUUGCACUGGUGGCAAUUCAUCAUGGAGCAUAAUAAAAUUAAUUUGACCCAAAUAGUA